rnacentral:rRNA from 1 species
UCGGGAAACCGGAGCUAAUACCGGAUAAUAUAUUGAACCGCAUGGUUCAAUAGUGAAAGACGGUUUUGCUGUCACUUAUAGAUGGAUCCGCGCCGCAUUAGCUAGUUGGUAAGGUAACGGCUUACCAAGGCAACGAUGCGUAGCCGACCUGAGAGGGUGAUCGGCCACACUGGAACUGAGACACGGUCCAG